rnacentral:rRNA from 1 species
UACGUAGGUGGCAAGCGUUGUCCGGAUUUACUGGGCGUAAAGAGCGCGCAGGCGGUCGGAUAAGUCGAAUGUGAAAGCCCCCGGCUCAACUGGGGAGGGUCAUUCGAUACUGCUCGACUCGAAGGCAGGAGAGGGAAGUGGAAUUCCCGGUGUAGUGGUGAAAUGCGUAGAUAUCGGGAGGAACACCAGUGGCGAAGGCGACUCCUGGCCUGUUCUUGACGCUGAGGCGCGAAAGCUAGGGAGCA